GAUGAACGCUGGCGGCGUGCCUAAUACAUGCAAGUCGAGCGAACGGACGAGAAGCUUGCUUCUCUGAUGUUAGCGGCGGACGGGUGAGUAACACGUGGAUAACCUACCUAUAAGACUGGGAUAACUUCGGGAAACCGUAGCUAAUACCGGAUAAUAUUUUGAACCGCAUGGUUCAAAAGUGAAAGACGGUCUUGCUGUCACUUAUAGAUGGAUCCGCGCUGCAUUAGCUAGUUGGUAAGGUAACGGCUUACCAAGGCAACGAUGCAUAGCCGACCUGAGAGGGUGAUCGGCCACACUGGAACUGAGACACGGUCCAGACUCCUACGGGAGGCAGCAGUAGGGAAUCUUCCGCAAUGGGCGAAAGCCUGACGGAGCAACGCCGCGUGAGGGAUGAAGGUCUUCGGAUCGUAAAACUCUGUUAUUAGGGAAGAACAUAUGUGUAAGUAACUGGGCACAUCUUGACGGUACCUAAUCAGAAAGCCACGGCUAACUACGUGC
rnacentral:rRNA from 1 species